rnacentral:rRNA from 1 species
UACGGGGGGGGCAAGCGUUGUUCGGAAUUACUGGGCGUAAAGGGCUUGUAGGUGGCCAACUAAGUCAGACGUGAAAUCCCUCGGCUUAACCGGGGAACUGCGUCUGAUACUGGAUGGCUUGAGUGUGGGAGAGGGAUGCGGAAUUCCAGGUGUAGCGGUGAAAUGCGUAGAUAUCAGGAGGAACACCGGUGGCGAAAGCGCUUGUCUGGCCCAAUACUGACGCUGAUGCGCGAAAGCUAGGGGAGCAAACGGG